rnacentral:rRNA from 1 species
GACGAACGCUGGCGGCGUGCUUAACACAUGCAAGUCGAACGGAAAGGCCCUGCUUGCAGGGUACUCGAGUGGCGAACGGGUGAGUAACACGUGUGUGAUCUGCCCUGCACUUCGGGAUAAGCCUGGGAAACUGGGUCUAAUACCGGAUAUGAGCCAUUUUUAGUGUUAUGGUUGGAAAGUUUUUUUCGGUGUAGGAUGAGCUCGCGGCCUAUCAGCUUGUUGGUGGGGUGAUGGCCUACCAAGGCGGCGACGGGUAGCCGGCCUGAGAGGGUGGACGGCCACAUUGGGACUGAGAUACGGCCCAGACUCCUACGGGAGGGAGCAGUGGGGAAUAUUGCCCAAUGGGCGCAAGCCUGAUGCAGCGACGCCGCGUGGGGGAUGACGGCCUUCGGGUUGUAAACUCCUUUCGCUAGGGACGAAGCUUUUUGUGACGGUACCUAGAUAAGAAGCACCGGCUAACUACGUG